GGGCGGAUGGCGCAAUGGUAGCGCGGGAUUCUUAUACAAUCUUGGUUCCAGGUUCGAGUCCUGGUCCGCCCA
rnacentral:tRNA from 2 species